CCUACGGGGGGCUGCAGUGGGGAAUAUUGGACAAUGGGGGCAACCCUGAUCCAGCCAUGCCGCGUGUGUGAAGAAGGCCCUCGGGUUGUAAAGCACUUUCAGUGAGGAAGAACGCCUGGUGGUUAAUACCCAUCAGGAAAGACAUCACUCACAGAAGAAGCACCGGCUAACUCCGUGCCAGCAGCCGCGGUAAUACGGAGGGUGCGAGCGUUAAUCGGAAUUACUGGGCGUAAAGCGCGCGUAGGUGGCUUGAUAAGCCGGUUUUGAAAGCCCCGGGCUCAACCUGGGAACGGCAUCCGGAACUGUCAAGCUAGAGUGCAGGAGAGGAAGGUAGAAUUCCCGGUGUAGCGGUGAAAUGCGUAGAGAUCGGGAGGAAUACCAGUGGCGAAGGCGGCCUUCUGGACUGACACUGACACUGAGGUGCGAAAGCGUGGGUAGCAAACAGGAUUAGAUACCCUGGUAGUC
rnacentral:rRNA from 1 species